UGAUCUCAACUCAGUCGUGAUUACCCGCUGAACUAAGCGGAGGAAAAGAAACUAACGAGGAUUUCCUUAGUAACGGCGAGUGAAAAGGAAAAAGCCCAACGCUGAAUCCAAUAGAUAUUUAUCUAUAUGGAAAUGUAGCGUAUAGAUGUAACUAUCUGUAACAUAUUUUUACACUCAAAGUCACCUUGAACGGGGCUAUAGCUCACAGAAGGUAAAAAAAAAACCUGUAUGGGAGGAAAAUGUUACGGUAAGUCAUUCCUUGGGAUCGAGUUGUUUGAGAUUGUAGGCCGAAGAGGGUGGUAAACUUCAUUUAAGCUAAAUAUGUCAACGAGACCGAUAGCAAACAAGUAUCGUGAGGAAAAGUUGCAAAGAAUUUUGAAGAGUUCAAGAGGGUGGAAAACGGGAAGAAUAGAGUUAGCGAAACUUAUCAGUAUUCAACCAAUAAAUUUAACAAUCUUAAUUGGUUUAUUAUUUAUUAAUGUUUGUAUUAAUGAAUGAAAUAACAUUUAAGAUAUGAAUUCGAAAUUUAUGAAAUGAUGAUUGGUGUAUUUAUCGAUGAUAUUUAUCGAAAGCUUCGUUUCAGCAUUUUAAUACAGCUAAUUUAGUGGAUUAAUUAUUUCAAUUCAUAAUUUGACAUCUAAAUCUAUUGAAAUAUGUCUUUGAUGAAGUUUUAAUCCCAUAUGUAUAACUUUCAUUUGGAAUAAUAAUGAUAUGCAUCAAUUAUAGUUUUGUUAAUUGUACUUAUAUGUAGUUUCAUACGAUUUUACUGAUAAAUGCAUGAUUGAGUAAUUGGUAAUGUUAUAAUACUGUAUGCAUCAUUAUGAACCGUAAUCAUCUCAAUAUGCAUCUCAAUAUGAACCUUAAUCAUCUAUCUGACCUCUCUUGAAACACGGAUUAAGAAGUUUAGCAUAUACGCAAGUUAUUGGAUAGUAAAUCUGAUUAUAAAAGAUUAAUGAAAGUGAAGAUUAUCUUUGGUAUAAUUAUUGAUAUUUAACCUAUAUUAUAUGUAAAAGUACACGUAAAUAUAUAGCG
rnacentral:ncRNA from 1 species